GUGAGGAAUAUUGGUCAAUGGGCGCAAGCCUGAACCAGCCAUCCCGCGUGAAGGAAGAAGGCCCUACGGGUUGUAAACUUCUUUUCUGUUUGAAGAAUAAGCUUGUCGAGACAAGUGAUGCCGGUAGGACAGGAAUAAGCAUCGGCUAACUCCGUGCCAGCAGCCGCGGUAAUACGGAGGAUGCAAGCGUUAUCCGGAUUGAUUGGGUUUAAAGGGUGCGCAGGUGGUUGAAUAAGUCAGUGGUGAAAGUCUGGCGCUUAACGUUAGGAUUGCCAUUGAUACUGUUUGACUUGAAUAUGGAUGAGGUAGGCGGAAUGUGUAGUGUAGCGGUGAAAUGCUUAGAUAUUACACAGAACACCGAUUGCGAAGGCAGCUUACUAAUCCAUUAUUGACGCUGAGGCACGAAAGCGUGGGGAUCAAACAGGAUUAGAUACCCGGGUAGUCC
rnacentral:rRNA from 1 species